rnacentral:lncRNA from 1 species
AUGCCUUAUGCGUUGGGUGUGACUUUAAAUUUGGCAGAGAGAAACACCUGUGGUUCUCAGUGUGUUGUUAACAAGGCUGGUUUCUUCACUGCUGCUUCUUUUUGGUCAAAGCUACAACAAAGGAAAAGGGCAGGUGUUAAGAAGAAGGAAUGUGCUACAGAACAAGGAGCCAGUAUUCCUUUUGUAUCCCACUUAUCACAUUUGUAAGGUAAGUCCUUUAUCUCCCAUAUUUUCCUUGAUAAGUAUUUUAAAAUGCUGACUUCCUCUUACAGUUUU